UCCGUGAGCAGGUCAACUUUGUGCUGGACCUCCUUGGGUUGGCAAGUGGACUGCACGUCGCAUGGCUAGCGGUGGUGCUCGGGCGGCGCCCCGUGCAGCUCGGUUGCUGGCUAAUGCAGUUCGGUUGAGCCACUGGUGAGCUCCUUCCUGUACCGGCUUCGCACCCAGUGCGGCUCGGUUGGCGCUGCCGUGCAGUUCCGGAGGUACGCCCUCGAUGAUGGUUGACCGUCCCAUUCCUCCUCCAAAAAUUUGUGCCAUAGUUUUAUUUUGCUUUAUAUUGUAUUUGCAGUGCAGCUCGCAUGGACGUGCAGUGUGGCACAUGUGCGAAGGAGAAAAAA
rnacentral:lncRNA from 1 species